rnacentral:rRNA from 1 species
AACGAACGCUGGCGGCAGGCCUAACACAUGCAAGUCGAGCGAGGACUUCGGUCCUAGCGGCGGACGGGUGAGUAACGCGUGGGAACGUGCCCUUUGCUUCGGAAUAGCCCUGGGAAACUGGGAGUAGUACCGGAUGAGCCCUUUGGGGGAAAGAUUUAUCGGCGAAGGAUCGGCCCGCGUUGGAUUAGGUAGUUGGUGGGGUAAUGGCCUACCAAGCCGACGAUCCAUAGCUGGUUUGAGAGGAUGAUCAGCCACACUGGGACUGAGACACGGCCCAGACUCCUACGGGAGGCAGCAGUGGGGAAUCUUAGACAAUGGGGGAAACCCUGAUCUAGCCAUGCCGCGUGAGCGAUGAAGGCCUUAGGGUUGUAAAGCUCUUUCAGCUGGGAAGAUAAUGACGGUACCAGCAGAAGAAGCCCCGGCUAACUCCGUG